CCUACGGGUGGCUGCAGUGAGGAAUAUUGGUCAAUGGGCGCUAGCCUGAACCAGCCAAGUCGCGUGAAGGAUGACUGCCCUAUGGGUUUUAAACUUCUUUUAUAUGGGAAUAAAGUGCAGUAUGUAUACUGCUUUGCAUGUACCUUAUGACUUAGGCUCGGCUAACUCCGUGCCCGCAGCCGCGGUAAUACGGCGGAUCCGAGGGUUAUCCGGAUUUAUUGGGUUUAAAGGGAGCGUAGGCGGGUUGUUAAGUCAGUUGUGAAAGUUUGCGGCUCAAACGUAAAAUUGCAGUUGAUACUGGCAACCGUGAGUACAGGAGAGGUAGGCGGAAUGCGUGGUGUAGCGGUGAAAUGCUUAGAUAUCACGAAGAACUCCGAUUGCGAAGGCAGCCUGCUGGACUGUAACUGACGCUGAUGCUCGAAAGUGUGGGUAUCAAACAGGAUUAGAUACCCGUGUAGUC
rnacentral:rRNA from 1 species